UACGUAGGUGACCAGCGUUGUCCGGAUUUACUGGGCGUAAAGAGCGCGCAGGCGGUCGUUCAAGUCGAGUGUGAAAGCCCCCGGCUCAACUGGGGAGGGUCAUUCGAUACUGAUCGACUUGAAGGCAGGAGAGGGAAGCGGAAUUCCCGGUGUAGUGGUGAAAUGCGUAGAUAUCGGGAGGAACACCAGUGGCGAAGGCGACUACCUGGCCUGUUCUUGACGCUGAGGCGCGAAAGCUGGGGGAGCAAACGGG
rnacentral:rRNA from 1 species